CAAAAGUGUUUGCACCCACACCUCUAGACAAAUGCUCAUUCUGCCUCCAGAGGCCUGAUCUUAACAAGACCAGUCUAGGGGUUCAAAUAAAGGCCUGAAGAGCUGGGGAUUCAUUAUUUCCAUAGCCAGAAAUAGACCUUGGAAUUCAUGGCUCUGAAAGAAAAGUGGCACCAGUAUUGUUGCCUCCCUCAUACCCUCAAGGUCCCAGACGUGAUAGUCCUCUAGGAGCUCUGAAGAGUGGAGACCAGGGUAGAUGAUGGAUCACCGGGUAAACCAUGAAGAAUGCCGGGAUAUGGAGCAGCAGUAGUGACCACACCUACUGGGACAACCCAUCUUGUCACUGUCCUAUUAGACAAGGUCCAAGAUAGGCUGUUUGAAAGUACCUCACCUGGGAAGGCAAAUGCACCCCCAUGGACAAGAACUUCACAUGAAUUUUCAAGAUUGGCAGUGAACUUCACAGUGGAUGUGAUCUCACGGCUUAUAGCUGCUGAAGAAGAUUGACAUGAAAACAAGAAAUGUACCCAGGAUUCCAGGAUACUCAAUCCAAGAUGUAAGGGGAAGGAGAAUCCAACAAAAGGAUAUUCUCAAGUGUCCAAUUCACCUGGCCGCUGGUGCAUCUAGAAAGAAGGCUGGAAAAAGGAAGUGCUAUUGAUUGAACCUUAAGUCUCAGGACUCCUUUUAGUGCUGAUGCAGAACUUCUGUUUCAUUUUGACCUUAACUCUGAGUUUCCAUAUCCAGUUUUGCUUCUGAUUCUGGGUUGGACCCAGUGGAGGUCCCCCCAUGCUGGGCUUUGGCCUGGGCUUUGGCAGGCCUCACCCUAGGUAGAGCCUUUCUCUGCAUUACAGGCAAAAUAGGUGAGAAGGGCACUCUGGGUCCCUAUAGCCAGCCUAGGAAUGUCAUUUCUCUAGCUCAGUUUCCUUAAUUUCUUAUUCACUGGAAAUUAUAGAACUCAUCCCACCUAAAGCCUUACCAUAGAUAGGUGAGUAGAUGAAUUGCUAUGGUAACCUUGAAUCCAGCCAUAAUUACACACAGAGCUCUGUGUGAGAGGGAUUAAGGAUGCCAAAGUCCUAGACACCAGUCCAACGAAG
ensembl:lncRNA